CCAGGGGCUCAGGGGCUCGUGGAAGAAGUGGACAUUGAAGUACUUAUCACACAAAUGAGGAUAAAAGUACGAUAGCGAUAUCUACCACGAAGCUGUUGUUCCACACCAGAAGCAAAUGAGCGCAAGAUCUGACAAAGAAAAAGAAAGGUUCAUCUUUUAUUUCUCCAAACACUUUCAUUUAAAUCAAGAGGAUGGGAUGUGGUUAUUGCUGUGUUUUUAGACAGAAUCAACGGUUUCUGGCUCUGAGAUGUUGCAUACACCCUCUCAGUCCCUGUAUCCUGAGAUGGAGUCACCUGAGGAUCCACAGCAAGUCCUAACCAGGGAUGGGUCUGGGUGAUUAAGGAAGGUUGGCUUCAGAACUGGGCCAGGGGCACUGCUUUGCUUUUGCUGUUUUGAUCAGCCCUCUGCCUGCAGGAGACAAGGAAAACCAAUGAGAACAGAAAUGAAGCGUCUCCUCAGGACCAGCAUUCCACGAAGGCAGCCCUUUUCUGGAUGGAGAAAACAGAACCUGAAGACACCCGUUUCCCUAAACUGCUCCUGCUCAUGUUGUAGUGAGCUGAAUGGUGGCUUUGCACAAGAUAUAUCCAGAUCCUUGUGCCUAGAAUCUGUGGAGGUGGCAUUAUUUGGAAAAACGGUCUCUGCAGAUGUAAUUAAGUUAAGGAUCUUGAGAUUCUCCUGGAGUAAUUUAGGUAGGUUGCACAUCUAAAGACAAGUGUCCUUAUAAGAGGACACUUUUGUCUGGGCGCAGUGGCUCAUGCCUGUAAUCCCAGCACUUUGGGAGGCCGAGGCGGGUGGAUCACCUCAGGUCAGGAGUUUGAGACCAGCCUGACCAACAUGGAGAAACCCCAUCUCUACUAAAAAUACAAAAUUAGCCGGGCAUGGUUGCGCAUGCCUGCAAUCCCAGCUACUGGGGAGGCUGAGGCAAGAGAGUUGCUUGAACCCAGGAGGAGGAGGUGGCAGUGAGCUGAGAUCAUGACAUUGCACUCCAGCCUGGGCAACAAGAGUGAAACUCCGUCUCAAAAAAAAAAAAAAAAAAAAAAAAGGACACUCUUUUUCAUGCGCCUCCGUGUGAAGAGACCACAAAACAGGCUUUUUGUGAGCAAUAAGGCUGUUUAUUUUACCUGGGUGCAGGUGGGCUGAGUCCAAAAAGAGUCAGUGAAGGGAGAUAGGAGUGGGGCUAUUUUAUAGGAUUUGGGUAGGUAAAGGAAAAAGGGGGGUUCUCUGGCAGGCAGGAGUGGGGGUCACAAGGUGCUCAGUAGGGGAGCUUUUGAGCCAGGAUGAGCAAGGAGAAGGAAUUUCACAAGAUAAUGUCAUCAGUUAAGGCAGGAACAGGACAUUUUCAUGUAUUUUGUGGUGGAAUGUCAUCAGUUAAGGCAGGAACCGGCCAUCUGGAUGUGUACAUGCAGGUCACAGGGGAUAUGAUGGUUUACCUUGGGCUCAG
rnacentral:lncRNA from 1 species